rnacentral:rRNA from 1 species
GGUUUGAUCAUGGCUCAGAUUGAACGCUGGCGGGACUUUACACAUGCAAGUCGAACGGCAGCACGGACUUCGGUCUGGUGGCGAGUGGCGAACGGGUGAGUAAUGUAUCCGGAACGUGCCUAGUAGCGGGGAUAACUACGCGAAAGCGUAGCUAAUACCGCAUACGCCCUUCGGGGAAAAGCAGAGGACCUUCGAACUCGCAUAGUAGAGCGGCCGAUAUCGGAUUCGCUAGUUGGUGGGAGUAACGGCUCACCAAGGCGACGAUCCGUAGCUGGUUUGAGAGGACGACCAGCCACACUGGGACUGGUUACGGCCAGACUCCUACGGGAGGCAGCAGUGGGGAAUUUUUGGACAAUGGGGGAAACCUGAUCAGCCAUCCCGCGUGUGCGAUGAAGGCCUUCGGGUUGUAAAGCACUUUUGGCAGGAAAGAAACGGCACGGGAUAUUACCCCGUGCAACUGACGAAGAAACACCUGCAGAAUAAGCACCGGCCCCAACUACGUGCCCAGCAGCCGCGGUAAUACGUAGGGUGCAAGCGUUAAUCGGAAUUACUGGGCGUAAAGCGUGCGCAGGUUCGGAAGAAAGAUGUGAAAAAUCCCAGAGCUUAACUUUGGAACUGCAUUUUAACUACCGAGCUAGAGAGUGUGUCAGAGGAGGUGGAAUUCCGCGUGUAGCAGUGAAAUGCGUAGAUAUGCGGAGGAACACCGAUGGCGAAGGCAGCCUCCUGGGAUAACACUGACGCUCAUGCACGAAAGCGUGGGGGCAAACAGGAUUAGAUACCCUGGUAGUCCACGCCCUAAACGAUGUCAAUAGCUGUUGGGGCCUUCGGGCCUUGGUAGCGCAACUAACGCGUGAAGUUGACCUGGGGAGAGUACGGUCGCAAGAUUAAAACUCAAAGGAAUUGACGGGGACCCGCACAAGCGGUGGAUGAUGUGGAUUAAUUCGAUGCAACGCGAAAAACCUUACCUACCACUGACAUGUCUGGAAUCCCGAAGAGAUUUGGGAAUUCUCGCAAGAGAACCGGAACACAGGUGCUGCAUGGCUGUCGUCAGCUCGUGUCGUGAGAUGUUGGGUUAAGUCCCGCAACGAGCGCAACCCUUGUCAUUAGUUGCUACGAAAGGGCACUCUAAUGAGACUGCCGGUGACAAACCGGAGGAAGGUGGGGAUGACGUCAGAGUCCUCAUGGCCCUUAUGGGUAGACUUCACACGUCAUACAAUGGUCGGGACAGAGGGUCGCCAACCCGCGAAGGGGGAGCCAAUCCCAGAAACCCGAUCGUCGUCCGGAUCGCAGUCUGCAACUCGACUGCGUGAAGUCGGAAUCGCUAGUAAUCGCGGAUCAGCAUGUCGCGGUGAAUACGUUCCCGGGUCUUGUACACACCGCCCGUCACACCAUGGGAGUGGGUUUUACCAGAAGUAGUUAGCCUAACCGUAAGGAGGGCGAUUACCGCGGUAGGAUUCAUGACUGGGGUGAAGUCGUAACAAGGUAG